CAUAACCAGAGGGUCAUCAACUGCUUGGGAAGCGCAAUCGGGGAGAGUUUAACGCAAGAGCCGAGUUUAUACAAAUAGAAAAUGUUGGUCGUAAAUGUAGUGAUAGUAAUACUAGCAGGGGGGCAGAACAAGGUAAAGGCGCAGUAAUGAGCAAAAAAAAAAAAAAAAAAAAAAAAGAAAAAGAGAAUGGCAGAAUUUAAGAGUAGUGAAAACCAAGACGGUGGAAAAAUAAGAUAAUUCUGUAAAUAAUUCUUCAUUUACACCUUGGAGGAAAACGCUUUUUUAGAAAACUGUAUCAAGCGUCUCCUCUGUACGUGUGUUUCCCUUUCUCCGGGUCUUAUUGGAAGCCGAACCACUUCAAGACCCGUAAUCCAGAGGGAACCCGGGUUCUGAAGCUCCUUCGCCGGGGUAUCUGAUAUAAUUAUUAUACGUACCGAACGUCUGUGUUCGUAUGUUCUUUCUAUAAACCGUUUACUUUGGCCCACGUGGCAGAGACAAACACCGGCUGUGGAUGAACAUGAUCUGAUUCUUCGCUUUCCCUGCAGUAUUUUAUUAUGGGAUUAAGAGUGUUGUCACAGUAUCGUAACGUACUACUGUACUGCACCGCACGGUGCUCUGCGAUCCUUUUGACAGGAGCUCAUGGCACGGUGGGCGGGGUCAGCGGCGCGCGAAGCGGGGCACGUGUGAAAGGAAGGGUCACGCUCCGUACCGUCAUUUACCACAAUUGGCACCGAUUAGUACACAGACGUGACGGCAGCAGCGUGAAGUGGGGUCACUGGGUGUUUCGGGUCAUUCGGCAUCGACGCUCACCAGGUGACUCAACCGGGAUCGAUCGAACUCCAGCCCGAGUCCAGGCAGCACUUCCUUGAAGCACAGCUCACCGCUCCGCAUGCCGCAGCCAUCCGGAUGGGUUCUUCACAGUGUCGGUGAGCAGCGGCGCCGCUCCACCGGUUCCUCAUACCUCGCCAUCUUUCUUUCGUUGGCCUCUUCCAUCCGAUCGGCCCAG
rnacentral:lncRNA from 1 species